AACGCACCUUGCGCCCCUCGGUAUUCCGUGGGGCACGCCUGUUUGAGUGUCACGUGAAACCAUCGCCUCGAGCUCGUCUCGUGUGCGGACUUGGACCGUGCCGUUGGACCACCUUCGGCUCGUCUUGAAAUGCAUUAGCGGUGCCAACGCCCGGCGCGCCUCGGUGUGAUAGACAUCAUCGCCGCGAAGCGCCUUCACGUUGGUGUGGCUCCGCUCCUAAUCGUCCUCUCGGGGACAACUUUUAACGCUCUGGCCUCAAAUCAGGUGGGACUACCCGCUGAACUUAA
rnacentral:misc_RNA from 1 species